GAUGAACGCUGGCGGCGUGCCUCAAACAUGCAAGUCGAGCGGGGCUAUGUAAUAUCGCAAGGUAGAACAUAGCCUAGCGGCGAACGGGUGAGUAACACGUGGGUAACCUGCCUGGAAGACAGGGAUAACGAUUCGAAAGGGUCGCUAAUACCUGAUAAUAUCCUUUCAUCGCAUGGUGAUAGGAAGAAAGGGGAAACCCGCUUUCAGAUGGGCCCGCGUCCCAUCAGCUAGUUGGUAAGGUAAAGGCUUACCAAGGCGACGACGGGUAGCCGGUCUGAGAGGAUGUACGGCCACACUGGGACUGAGAUACGGCCCAGACUCCUACGGGAGGCAGCAGUUGGGAAUCUUAGGCAAUGGACGAAAGUCUGACCUAGCGACGCCGCGUGAGGGAAGAAGGCCUUCGGGUUGUAAACCUCUGUCAUGGGGAAGAAGUAAGUGACGGUACCCAAGAGGAAGCCCCUGCUAACUACGUGCCAGCAAGCCGACGGUAAAAGUACGUCGUAAU
rnacentral:rRNA from 1 species